rnacentral:misc_RNA from 1 species
AAAUGCGAUAAGUAAUGUGAAUUGCAGAAUUCAGUGAAUCAUCGAAUCUUUGAACGCACAUUGCGCCCGCCAGUAUUCUGGCGGGCAUGCCUGUUCGAGCGUCAUUUCAACCAUCAAGCCCCCGGCCUGUGUUGGGGACCUGCGGCUACCCACAGGCCCUGAAAAACAGUGGCGGGCUCGCUGUCACACCGAGCGUAGUAGCAUACAUUCUCGCUCAGGGCGUGCUGCGGGUUCCGGCCGUUAAACGACCUUCAUAACCCAAGGUUGACCUCGGAUCAGGUAGGAAGACCCGCUGAACUUAAGC